rnacentral:lncRNA from 1 species
GUUGGAAUUCGUGUUGUUCAUGCAGUCUUUAGAUUUCGGUGUUAUGUUAUUUUACGGCUGAAGUGUGUCUUUUUGUUGUUUUUAAAGCUGUGUUUCAUAUAAAUGAAUUUGAUUAAUCACUGUAUUUCUAACACGUUUCGCAGUGGUCAAUAAGGUGUUGCAAUGCCUAGUUCUCGAAACAAAUAUUCUUCUUUUUGUCUGGGACGGGGUGUUCGAUAUGCGGAUUGUUAUUCAUGUUAUUUAAUUUUACAACUAUAUAACUAAUAUACUUAGACUUGUUACUGGGUUUAUUUUAACACGUCCAACACGACGUAAAACCCCUUACAGAUAUUGUUAAUUUAUCAUUAUCAUCAUCAACCUUCCCUGACCGUCUUGAGGAAGCUCAAAUUGCACCUAUUCACAAAAAAAA